CCAAAUGUUUUUAAUUAUUUAAAUAGAACAUAUCAUUUUCAAUAACUUUCCAACUGACUCCUAUUAUAUUUGCUCCAUUCUCUAGGUAUCCUUUAUUGAAGCAGCAGCAAUACGCUACUGGGAGCUAGCUGAGCAAGUACACGGCCAGAGCACUGAGAGAUAUGAGGUAUUGAUGUAACUGGAGUGAAUAAGGGAACCUUCUUCCUGAGCACAGACAUUGGAGCCUGUUAUCAGCAUGAACUCAUAUGUGUUAGGUGAUGACAUCACUUAAUAUUUAGACAAUGCUGUGGGUGUCCACUGGCAAGUUCCUGUUGGGAAGGAGAAUAUCCCACAAGUAAUGGAUGAACCGUGGACUGGAUACACCACAAGAGAAAGAAAUUUAUCAG